CAGCAACAACAGUUGCAACAGCAACAACAGUUGCAACAGCAGGCACAGGAGUACCAGCAGAAUAUUCAACAUCAAAAAGUGGAAAGGCAAAUUAGCGGGCAAUACCCACAGCAAGUUAGCAGCAAUGUUAAUCUACAGUAUUCAACCAACGAUACUGAUCAAUGGCAGCAGCAUGGCAACACUGAUACACAGUAUGAAGAUUUUGAUUCAGAGGAGGAAAGCAAUCGAUAUUAUGAUGAGAGCAGAAAGUGGUUUUGGUCUUUCAAAAGAGAACGGUGGAUCCGUGCAGAGAACAGGCGAGAAAGCCAGUAUGAUGAUCAACGAUAUCACAGAUCUGACUCGAGAAGAAGUCGCAAUCGUGAGCGAAGAAGAGAGAGCCAGGGUAGAAGAAGAACAGACUACAAUGACCGAGCAUAUUAUGAUAAAUAUUAUCGUGAUU
rnacentral:lncRNA from 1 species